rnacentral:tRNA from 1 species
GGGUCGUUAGCUCAGUUGGUAGAGCAGUUGACUUGUCGCUGGUUCGAAUCCAGCACGACCCACCA